UGGAGUUCAGGGAAUAGGAAUAUCUACAGGAAAGCUGGAUAUGUAUGUUGCUGUUGCUGGCAUAAACCCUCAAAGAUGAAAGAGGCACUAUCAGCAUUGACAUGUACAUGUGAUUUUAGGCAUGAACCAGGAGAGUGAGAGUUUUAGUGUGCCGUGUUUAGAAUUUGCCGAUAUCUUUUUCCCGUUCCAGCAAGUAUUCCUGAUUGUGGGGAUUCUUCCAGUAAUGCUAGAUAUUGGUACUAACAACGAGAAGUUACUUAAUGAUUCUCUUUGAUUUAUUGGAGUUGAGGAGUCCCACAAUCUUUAUGUUCUGUUUGUUUUUCCAUCACUUUUUCAAGGCUGUUCAAUUGGAGUUCCAUCUUCAGGUUGACGUGAUUGUCUUGACAGAUGGAAGUCGUAUUCUUGGCCUGGUGACCUUGGAGUUCAGGGAAUAGGAAUACCUAGAUUGGAGGGAGAAGAGUAUCUAUCUAUUGUUGAUGAAUUUAUGGAAGUCGUGCAUACAUUUUGAGGAUUUUCAAAUGAAAUGGGCUUUUGAAACAUUACAACGUUAUCGUAAGAGGUUCUGCAUGUUCAACGAUGACAUACAAGAACAAGGAUGAAUAAUCAAUGAAAAAGGAAUGAAGAGGUUUAUCCAUGCAAGCUUCAAACCAAAGCCAAGGAUGUCGAUCCUUCCAGGGGAGUCCAAAGUUCUCCCUUAUUUUUCUCCCUUUAUUUUGAUUUUCAAAAGUUUGCAAUUUUUUAAGUGGGGGUGGGCAAUUGCUUGCAUGUUUAGUCUAAACUUGGAGGUUCAAAUUUUGCCCUUCAAAAUUUCUAAAAAAAAUUUCCUUACAAUAAUGAGCACUAUACCUUCUUAGAUUACUUAGAUCUUGCAUAAAAAGCAUGACUAGCAACCCUUGAUCACUGAGCUUGGGUUUGUGAUGUAAAAUUCUGAAUGUUGAUGAGUAUAUGUGCUGAAAUUUGAGAAUAAGCUGCCAGUGUUUUUUGGUUUAAGCCCAUUUUUAGCGAUAUCUUAUGGAGAUGUGAAUGCAUGAUUGAGAAAAUGGUAUGUGUGUUGUGAAUGCUUGAUUGCAUGCAUAUAAUAAAUAAGUGCAUGGAUACUUUUCUAGCUUUGUCUUCCUUUGUUUCUUUGCCAUGACUUACCUAUGAUGCGCUUAGUCCAAACCUAGCCUAGAUAGAGUUAAAAAAGGAUAGGAGGUACUCUUUAGAAAUUGAGAUGGUUUUAACAAAUUUGUCUUGUCAAACAUGAGUUUGGAGCCUCUUCUCUAGCCACAAUGAACUAAAUCCCUUUAGAAAGGGUGGGCAUUAACAAAUCUUGUUGUCACUUCGAAGGGAGCAGUCAAACUUAGAAACUAAGUGUAGAACCAUAGAAAGGUUACCCCAUCGGUUAUUGUGUGCGUACCAAAGAAAGAAAAGAGAGAUUGCAAAUGUAAAACUUAAGACAGCGAGACAAUUAAGAGCUAAAAAAAACAAAGAACAUAUGCAUUAUACAUCAGAAAAAUCCCAUAAAAAAA